CCUUACUUCUGAAAUCCCAUGUACUUUGGCAUGUGUCACUUGGGAUGGCUGCCACGUGUACUCUGGCAUGAUCAGGCUUCAUGGUUAUGAGUUAGAUGAUGGGUAUGACCCGACCUACAUAUGUUGAAUUUGACCCAAAAUAAUUAAAUCAAACUCGAAUUACCAAAUAAUUUAUUAAAAUGCAAUGAUGAAGGAAAACAUAUUUUUUUAUAUUUACAUUUAGAAUAUGUGCAUAAAAAUAAUAAUAAGUGCUAUGUAAAUUAGAUAAAUUUAUUCAUUAUUUAGCACUUAUCAUACCCCCCAACUUACAUUUUGCUAGUCCUCGAGCAAAAUAGAAAAAAACUAACUCACUUUCACAGGAAUCGCGAUUGCAUUUACCGUAUGCAAUAAGGCUUUAAACCCUUAGGUGGCCCUAGUGGACGAGUUUUGUCUCGUGAGGAUUUCCGGCUCAGAUACCCACAAACUGUUGUCGAAAGAAUUUAUUUUAUUGAAUCUAAUUUCAAAUGCAUAAGUGCCAAUAAUUUCAAAAGCACACAAAGUUUUAAUUACUAAGUCAGCCCAAAUCCUAUGUCAAUAUGCAACUUAAGUUGAAGUUAUUA
rnacentral:lncRNA from 1 species